rnacentral:rRNA from 1 species
CACGUAGGGUGCGAGCGUUGUCCGGAAUUAUUGGCGUAAAGAGCUCGUAGGCGGUGUGUCGCGUCGGCCGUGAAAACCUGCAGCUUAACUGUGGGCUUGCGGUCGAUACGGGCAUCACUGGAGUUCGGCAGGGGAGACUGGAAUUCCUGGUGUAGCGGUGAAAUGCGCAGAUAUCAGGAGGAACACCGGUGGCGAAGGCGGGUCUCUGGGCCGAUGACUGACGUGAGGAGCGAAAGUGUGGGGAGCGAACAGG